UCCUGUUCCCCUAAUGUAACUUCCAGUUUUAUUAAAGUUUACAUCCAUCAAAGCCUUAGUUUAAUUUAGUUUCCUGUCAUUACUACCCCCUUUAUUUGUCGCAUGUUGCGUAUCAUGUACUGAUUCUAUAUAUACUUCGAGCAUACAUAUGUACACUUAUGGAACAAUAACCAUUUAGUAAACUUUUUAAAACGUUUUUGUAGACUUGUAUACAAUAAAUUUGAUACAGAACAAAAAAGAUAAUAACAAAGAUGACAGUUUGUCUGCGUGUUUUACUUGUUAACUUGAAGAUGUAUUAAUAACUACACGACAC
rnacentral:lncRNA from 1 species